UCCAUAACCUAAAUAUAUACCGGAUAAUACAAAUUAAAUUUAAAACCCAAAGAACUUGGCGGUGUCUCAUACAAUCAGGGGAACCUGUCCCUUAAAUCGAUAAUCCACGAAUGUCCUAGUCUAGCUAGAACAACCAGCCUGUGUACUGCCGUCGGCAGCAUACCUUAAAAAGAAAGUAUGCGAUAAUAAUUCUAAAGACGUCAGGUCAAAGUGCAGCCAAUGCUAAUCUGGAGAUGGGUUACAUCUUGCACCAAAACUGAAACCCAUUAAAAAAUGGGAAAAAAGCUGGACUUGAUUGUAAUGACUUAAACUAUAAUGUCAUGAACAUGUUCCUGAGACAUGUACACAUCGCCCGUCACUCUCGUCGAAAGAUG
rnacentral:rRNA from 1 species